rnacentral:rRNA from 1 species
UACAGAGGGUGCGAGCGUUAAUCGGAAUUACUGGGCGUAAAGCGCGCGUAGGCGGCUUCGCAAGUCGAGUGUGAAAUCCCCGGGCUCAACCUGGGAACUGCAUUCGAGACUGCGUUGCUAGAGUAUGGGAGAGGGAGGUGGAAUUCCUGGUGUAGCAGUGAAAUGCGUAGAUAUCAGGAAGAACACCCGUGGCUAAGGCGGCUCUCUAGUACGGUACUGACGCUGAGACGCGAAAGCGUGGGGAGCAAACAGG